rnacentral:rRNA from 1 species
GUCCACACGGUAAACGAUGAAUGCUAGGUGUAGGAGGUAUCGACCCCUUCUGUGCCGCAGUUAACACAAUAAGCAUUCCGCCUGGGGAGUACGGUCGCAAGAUUAAAACUCAAAAGGAAUUGACGGGGGCCCGCACAAGCAGCGGAGCAUGUGGUUUAAUUCGACGCAACGCGAAGAACCUUACCAGGUCUUGACAUCCAGUUAAAAGCUGUUGAAAGAUAGUGUCCCUUCGGGGGAACUGAGACAGGUGGUGCAUGGUUGUCGU